rnacentral:rRNA from 1 species
GAUUAUGGCUCAGGAUGAACGCUGGCGGCGUGCCUAACACAUCAAGUCGAACGAACUGUAGAAAUACAGUGAGUGGCGGACGGGUGAGUAACGCGUAAGCAAUCUGCCUUUGUGUGUGGAAUAACAACCGGAAACAGUUGCUAAUACCGCAUAACGCAUAGGAGUCGCAUGGCUCUUAUGCCAAAGAUUUAUCGCACGAAGAUGAGCUUGCGUCCGAUUAGAUAGUUGGCGGGGUAACGGCCCACCAAGUCUGCGAUCGGUAGCCGGACUGAGAGGUUGAACGGCCACAUUGGAACUGAGAUACGGUCCAGACUCCUACGGGAGGCAGCAGUGGGGAAUAUUGGGCAAUGGACGAAAGUCUGACCCAGCGACGCCGCGUGAGGGAAGAAGGUCCUCGGAUUGUAAACCUUAGUCAACAGGGACGAAGCAAGUGACGGUACCUGUGGAGGAAGCCACGGCUAACUACGUGCCAGCCGCUGC